UCUUAGUCUGUGACGCAUUCCACAUUUACACAGUUUAGAUGGGUACAGGCUUACUCCAGGACGCAUUCCACAUACACAGUUUAGAUGGAUACAAUCUUAGUCCAGGACACAUUCCACACAUAUACAGUUUAGAUGGGUGCAACCGUACUCCAGGACACAUUCCACGUACACAGUUUAGAUGGGUACAGGCUUACUCCAGGACGCAUUCCACACAUACACAGUUUAGAUGGGUACAGGCUUACUCCAGGACACAUUCCACACAUACACAGUUUAGAUGGGUACAGGCUUACUCCAGGACGCAUUCUACGUACACAGUUUAGAUGGGUACAAUCUUACUCCAGGGCACAUUCCACGUACACAGUUUAGAUGGGUACAGGCUUACUCCAGGACGCAUUCCAUAUAUCCAGUUUAGAUGGGUACAGGCUUACUCCAAGACACAUUCCACAUACACAGUUUAGAUGGGUACAGGCUUACUCCAGGACGCAUUCCAUAUAUACAGUUUAGAUGGAUACAAUAUUACUCCAGGAUACAUUCCACACAUACGUACCAUUGUAUUCACGGUAGUGAACGUUUCGUCGUGUACUAAGUACAAGUCAGAACAAAACUACUUGGAUGAAUGUCAUGACUUUGGCUUUAAUUAAAACAAAGAUUAAAUCAGAGUGUGUCAGUGGGAUACUUUAUCUCUUACAUACUGAAAUCAAGCACAGCAAUCAAGUCAAAAUAGAAUAUGCAGAGACAUGACCGAACCUACUGUUUCCAAUCCUUACCGCUUGGAGGAAUGUUA